AGAGACUGGACUGCAUGCCACACAGCAGCCUCCCUCCGUCAUUAGGCAAUAAUCAUCCGCGGCACUAUCCACUGCCUUGGGCCGGAUAGACAACAAACACACCGUUCCUGUGUCCCGUUGCUAACUUACAGCUAGCUUAUGCUAACGUCUGUACUGUUGCUACUUUGGCUGUUCGGGGCGAACAAACAAACGACCCCGCGGUCACAUUCACCGGAAUGACGCUAGGAGAAAAGUAGGCAUCGCUGUGAGAAGGAAUAUGGCGUUUGAUAUCGGUUUUGUUUGUGUUUCUGCUAAUAGACGGUUGCAGGUGGACUGGUGUUUACAUGGUCCGUGGGAGCUGGAAGUCGGCAGAAAUGGAGCCUCAGUGGAUGUCAUCUGGGAAGAAGAAGAGGAGGAACCUUCUAGAUACAGACCAGCUGGAGGGACCUCUUCUCUGAGUCCCAGGGAGACGGCCACCAGCUGCAUCCCGCUGGUGGCCGUCUCCCUGCACAUCCCGCCCCCUCAGCUGUCACCUAGCUGCCCUGCAAAAGUGGCAUAGUGCCGGGGAGGUGUUCCACUUCAGAGGCAGGGAGAUCUUCUCCAGAGGACUGACCAAAACUGCACAGGACACCGCAUCAUUGACAGCCUGUCUUUCUAAUGGAGGAUUAUUCCCAGAAACACAUUACCCACGUUUGCUGCAGAAGUGCACAUGAUCUACGGUUCCCUGGACCCAGUCAACCCUCAUCCUCAGUCUUUACCAAUACCCGAGGCCACCUGAGGGUUAAGUUGCUGGGAUCAGAGCAUGGUGCAGGCUCCAGAGCGAGGGCCCCUGGCUCCGGACAGCGCUCCGCCUCUGUUUGUCUCUGACUCGCUGCUCCCGGCAGCAGCAGCAGCAGCAGCGGAGGAGGAGGAGGAGAGAGGCUCUCCCCGGACGGCUGCGUCCCCGCUGAUGGCUCCCUGCGCUGGGGGUUGGUCCCUGUCGCUGGUCUGCUUGGACCUGGAGAAGGACAGCCGCCUGAAGAGAGACAGCUGAUCGGAGGACAGACAGUUCAUUUAAUCACCUCCCUGUGAUGUCACACAGCACACAGGCCACCUGGCGCACUCGUCCCUUCUUGAAGUGUUGGACCGGCUGCGGCAGCGGCGACUGGAAGACGAACGUCCCGUGACCGAGCUGUCCGAACUGGCCGAGGCCGAACGUGAACACGUUGUCCUCUGAGAGACAAGAAACACAUUAACUAAACCUGUACUCUAUGAAAGGAUUCAUUCAGAAUGCCUGAUCGCCUCUGAUCUUACUGACAUUUUCUUUAAAAUAAAAAAGAUAAAUGUGAAAUAGUAAAUAUUGAAUACAUUUUGUUUCUUCUUUUUAACCCUGUUUUGUGAGGUGGUUCGGGCUGCAUCUCUGCAAGAUUGUAUACAUUAUAAUAUUGUAAUUGUAGAAACCUGGCAGUCAGCAGGGUUCCAAAUACUUAAAUGCACAUUAGAUUGAUUUUA